GGGUUGUGAGGUUAAGCGACUAAGCGUACACGGUGGAUGCCCUGGCAGUCAGAGGCGAUGAAGGACGUGCUAAUCUGCGAUAAGCGCCGGUAAGGUGAUAUGAACCGUUAUAACCGGCGAUUUCCGAAUGGGGAAACCCAGUGUGAUUCGUCACACUAUCAUUAACUGAAUCCAUAGGUUAAUGAGG
rnacentral:rRNA from 1 species